rnacentral:rRNA from 1 species
GACGAACGCUGGCGGCGUGCCUAAUACAUGCAAGUUGAGCGCUGAAGGUUGGUACUUGUACCGACUGGAUGAGCAGCGCACGGGUGAGUAACGCGUGGGGAAUCUGCCUUUGAGCGGGGGACAACAUUUGGAAACGAAUGCUAAUACCGCAUAAAAACUUUAAACACAAGUUUUAAGUUUGAAAGAUGCAAUUGCAUCACUCAAAGAUGAUCCCGCGUUGUAUUAGCUAGUUGGUGAGGUAAAGGCUCACCAAGGCGAUGAUACAUAGCCGACCUGAGAGGGUGAUCGGCCACAUUGGGACUGAGACACGGCCCAAACUCCUACGGGAGGCAGCAGUAGGGAAUCUUCGGCAAUGGACGAAAGUCUGACCGAGCAACGCCGCGUGAGUGAAGAAGGUUUUCGGAUCGUAAAACUCUGUUGGUAGAGAAGAACGUUGGUGAGAGUGGAAAGCUCAUCAAGUGACGGUAACUACCCAGAAAGGGACGGCUAACUACGU